GACGAACGCUGGCGGCGUGCCUAAUACAUGCAAGUAGAACGCUGAAGGAGGAGCUUGCUUCUCCGGAUGAGUUGCGAACGGGUGAGUAACGCGUAGGUAACCUGCCUGGUAGCGGGGGAUAACUAUUGGAAACGAUAGCUAAUACCGCAUAAGAGUAGAUGUUGCAUGACAUUUGCUUAAAAGGUGCAAUUGCAUCACUACCAGAUGGACCUGCGUUGUAUUAGCUAGUUGGUGGGGUAACGGCUCACCAAGGCGACGAUACAUAGCCGACCUGAGAGGGUGAUCGGCCACACUGAGACUGAGACACGGCCCAGACUCCUACGGGAGGCAGCAGUAGGGAAUCGUCAGCAAUGGACGGAAGUCUGACCGAGCAACGCCGCGUGAGUGAAGAAGGUUGUCGGAUCGUAAAGCUCUGUUGUAAGAGAAGAACGAGUGUGAGAGUGGAAAGUUCACACUGUGACGGUAUCUGACCAGAAAGGGACGGCUAACUACGUG
rnacentral:rRNA from 1 species